CGCCGGCCGGUUGAGCCAAUCAAUGCCUCCGGAAUGUUUUUCUACGCCGCUGAUUGGUGGAGAACACGCACUCGACCUGCGGGGUCGCUCCUCUGCGCGGGGAACUGACCGCACCUUGACGGACAUGGUGCUAUUAGAAUAUAAGCCUGGAGCUCCUGGAGGUCAUAUUCCCCUCUGGACAGGAAAGGCCACAGUUGGCUACAUAGAGAUGGAAGUCUGGAGUUCCACAUGGCUUUUCAUACCAAGAUCCAUUUUCUGUAAGGUAAUUUUUGCUUUUUCCAAAGUUUUAUUGUAUGAGUCAACAAACUCCAAUGCUUUUUUAAAAAGCAGAAGUUUGGGACACCUGGGUGGCUCAGUGGUUGAGCGUCUGCUUUUGGCCCAAGGCAUGAUCCUGGAGUCCCGGGAUCAAGUGCCACAUAGGCCUCUCUGCAUGGAGCCUUCUUCUCUCUCUCUCUCUCUGCUUCUUUCUCUGUGUCUCUCAUGA
rnacentral:lncRNA from 12 species